GAUGAAGAACGCAGUGAAAUGCGAUACGUAAUGUGAAUUGCAGAAUUCAGUGAAUCAUCGAGUCUUUGAACGCACAUUGCGCCCCCUGGUAUUCCGGGGGACAUGCCUGUCCGAGCGUCAUUGCUGCCCUCAAGCACGGCUUGUGUGUUGGGCCUCCGUCCUCCUCCCGGGGGACGGGCCCGAAAGGCAGCGGCGGCACCGCGUCCGGUCCUCGAGCGUAUGGGGCUUCGUCACCCGCUCUUGUAGGCCCGGCCGGCGCUUGCCGACACAUCAAUCUUUUUUCCAGGUUGACCUCGGAUCAGGUAGGGAUACCCGCUGAACUUAAGCAUAUCAAUAAGCGGAGGA
rnacentral:misc_RNA from 1 species